rnacentral:rRNA from 1 species
GAUGAACGCUGGCGGCGUGCCUAAUACAUGCAAGUCGAGCGAACAGACGAGGAGCUUGCUCCUCUGACGUUAGCGGCGGACGGGUGAGUAACACGUGGAUAACCUACCUAUAAGACUGGGAUAACUUCGGGAAACCGGAGCUAAUACCGGAUAAUAUAUUGAACCGCAUGGUUCAAUAGUGAAAGACGGCUUUGCUGUCACUUAUAGAUGGUUCCGCGCCGCAUUAGUUAGUUGGUAAGGUAACGGCUUACCAAGGCAACGAUGCGUAGCCGACCUGAGAGGGUGAUCGGCCACACUGGAACUGAGACACGGUCCAGACUCCUACGGGAGGCAGCAGUAGGGAAUCUUCCGCAAUGGGCGAAAGCCUGACGGAGCAACGCCGCGUGAGUGAUGAAGGUCUUCGGAUCGUAAAACUCUGUUAUUAGGGAAGAACAGAUGUGUAAGUAACUAUGCACGUCUUGACGGUACCUAAUCAGAAAGCCACGGCUAACUACGUG